CUCUUCUAGAGCUGAUUACCAACUCCUACCACUGUUAACCCUCAUCCAGGAACAAGCUUAUGUCUUUAACAUUCUGAGUGGGCUUCAGCAUCCUUGCAUAUGUUCAAUUCUUAAAAACCUGUUGAAAUAAAAGAUCAGGAGACAUAGGAAGGAUGCCAGAAGAGAGCGUGGCCUCACGUGUACCAGCUCUCUGCUCUCCUUUGCCUUGGGACGUUCCAUCCCUGGAAGUUUCCCUGCCCACAUCUUUGUAGAGAGUCCAUUCUCCAAGCUUCAGUGUGUCAUCUGUGAGGACCGUGACCCACCUGGUACAUCGCCUCAGGGCAUUCAUUUCAGGCUCCUUCUAAAUGGCCAAGUCAUCUAUGAACUGACUCUGUCUCAAAAAAAAAAAGAAAAAAAAGAAAAGAAAGAAUGAAAAAAAAAACUAGGACAUGGCUAACAGGAAUGGGGACAAAGAAUCUGCACUGAUGAGGAAACUGAAACAGAAAAUCCAGAGUAAAUUCCACCAGGCCACACAGCAAGGUCUGAUAGAGCCAGGAGAGACUUUAUGAAAUCCAGACUCUCACACUAAUGCUCUAUCAGCUAGACCUCCAUGUGAGUCUCCCCAAUGUAGGUAGGAAGUGCUUUCCC
rnacentral:lncRNA from 10 species